AGAACGAACGCUGGCGGCGCGUUUAAGCAUGCAAGUCGAGCGGCAAGGGCCUUCGGGCCCCUAGAGCGGCGGACGGGUGAGUAACACGUGGACAAUCUGCCCCCCGGCCCGGGAUAGCCCAGGGAAACCUGGAUUAAUACCGGAUGAGACGGGACCCGCGAUGGCGGGAUCCGGGAAAGGCGCUGCGGCGCCGCCGGGGGAUGAGUCUGCGUCCCAUUAGCUAGACGGCGGGGUAACGGCCCACCGUGGCGACGAUGGGUAGCCGGCCUGAGAGGGUGGACGGCCACAUUGGAACUGAGACACGGUCCAGACCCCUACGGGAGGCAGCAGCUAAGAAUCUUCCGCAAUGGGCGAAAGCCUGACGGAGCCGACGCCGCGUGAACGAAGAAGGCCGUGAGGUUGUAAAGUUCUUUUCGGGAGGGGGAACAACCGUGGCAGGGAAUGGCCGCGGGAUGACGUGAAUCCCGGAAUAAGCCCCGGCUAACUACGUGCCAGCCGCCGC
rnacentral:rRNA from 1 species